rnacentral:rRNA from 1 species
GUGGGGAAUUUUGGACAAUGGGGGCAACCCUGAUCCAGCCAUGCCGCGUGCGGGAAGAAGGCCUUCGGGUUGUAAACCGCUUUUGUCAGGGAAGAAAUCCUUUGGGUUAAUACCUGGGGCUAAUGACGGUACCGUAAGAAUAAGCACCGGCUAACUACGUGCCAGCAGCCGCGGUAAUACGUAGGGUGCGAGCGUUAAUCGGAAUUACUGGGCGUAAAGCGUGCGCAGGCGGUGCUGUAAGACAGGCGUGAAAUCCCCGGGCUCAACGUGGGAAUUGCGUUUGUGACUGCAGUGCUGGAGUACGGCAGAGGGGGAUGGAAUUCCGCGUGUAGCAGUGAAAUGCGUAGAUAUGCGGAGGAACACCGAUGGCGAAGGCAGUCCCCUGGGCCUGUACUGACGCUCAUGCACGAAAGCGUGGGGAGCAAACAGGAUUAGAUACCCGAGUAGUCC